UUUUUUUCUUAGUUUGAUUUGAUUUUCAUGACAAAUAAUUGUAUCAAAUUUAUUAUUUGUUAUUGAUCUAACCAACUUUGACAUGAAAUAUCCGUUAUUUUGUACAUUAUACUAAUUUUAUUUUCCUUAUUCUUUUUUCGUUUUUUUUUUUCUGUUGCUUAUUAUUAUUUUCCUUAUUUCUUUUAUUCUUUGAUUUUUUUUGUGUUUUUAAAUUAUCGCACUGAAAAGAAGUGGACAUAUCGCAAUUCAACGUUUACAAUCAAUAAUUUUGUAUUAUAGCUAAUACUAUCUUCUAAAUCUUAAUUGUUAAGUUUUUUUUUCUGCAUUAUAAUUGUAACAAUUAAUAAUUUAAAAAAAAAACUAUUAGUGUAAGUAGUGGUUGGGUAAAAACAUUUUUUUUUAAUUAACUAUUGUAGUUAUCGAUUUAAGUAUAAAGUAAAGUGUAAGGUAUAUUUUUAAGUGUACUGUGUAGACGGUUAGUGAAUGUAUUAUUAUUAUUAUAGUUAUUUUAUAAGAAUGAAUGCCAUUGUGACAAUCAAAAUUCUAAAUGACGAUUACGCCAUCAAACGUAACGUCUGUAACUGUUCUUGGAAAAAAAUUAACAGAUUCACACGGACCUCAAAAAAAAAUUUUAAACACUUAUCAUAAGGCUCUUUUCACAUACAGUUUUGAUCAGACAGUAAUAUAAAUUUAGUGGACUGAAAAAAGUAUAGACUCAUAUUACACGGUCACGACAAAAUGCCGGUACUGUGCUAUAUAGCAGCCAUCUGUUUCCACUAUGGAGUACGGCAACCAGAUGACACUAUAGCUUAUUAACGGACAUGACUAAAUGCAUGUUUUAAGAUUUUUGAUAUGCAGACAAAACCAUUUAAUGUGAAAAAAGCCUGACUUUUCUGGGGUUCAUCGUGUAUCUGGUCUUGAACUUUCAUUUUUCACGAAACAUCGUAAACUUAUUUAUAUUAAUAAUUAUUAUUAUUGUUAUAACAUUUAUUAGACUUACCUUGAUGAUGUCCUCGACUUGUUAUCGAAUUUGUUAAAUCUAAUCGACGACCAGCCGUUUUCGUCCUACCCAUGUCAAUUCGUGCGCUGACACUAAGCGUUACCUGCAAUAAUUUUAAUAUUAUAAUAUUUUAUUACUAGAUAUUAAUAUUAUUAUUAUUACUAUCAUCGUGAUUAUAGUUCCGUGGUGUGUACUCACACAACAAUCAUAGCAAAUAAAGGCUACUAUAUUAUUAUGAUAUUAAAUAGGACAAUCGUUUUUUAUGGCCCAUCACCAUUGGCCGGACACAGUUAGAUGUAUUUUAUUAUUAUUAUAUUAUUAUUAUUAUUACUAUUAUUAUUAUUAUUAUUAUUAUUAUUAUUAUUAUUAUUAUUAUUAUUAUUGAUAUUAUUAUUAGGUAUUUAUAUCCAUUUGUAUUAUUGUUACAAUAUUUUACCUACCGCCUCUGCCCACCUCCCAGUUAUUAUUAUACCCUUGUUAGUGGCAGUGAAAACAAAUAUUUAAAAAAAUUUUGUUUAAAAAUAUGUUUCAUUUUUUAAGUGUUUAGAUGUAUAAUUAUUAAUUAUUAACAUAAGGACAUAAUAUUAUUAUAAUAAUUCUAGAUAUGAUUUUUUUUUUUGUGAUUAUUAUUAUAAUAAUAUAUAGGUAAUUUACAAUAUUUAGUCAAAUUUUUCAAAUGUAUAACCAAAUCUGAAUAAUUGAAACACACUCACACAUAAUCACUACUUCUUAUUACUUCAUACUUGGUCUUUAUUAAUCUUUAUUAUCUAUUGUUCACUCUUUUUCUGUUAUAUGUCUGUGCAUGUGUCUUCUUAACUCUUAAAAACAUUCUCUACUUCUCGAUUUAUAUUUUCCAAUCAUAGAUAGCUAGUUUAAACUAUAAAUAUGGUUGAGCAGAAGAUUUUGUAGUUUUAAUGUUGGUGUUAUAGCCCUUGUAUACUCUUACUUUUAUCGUUUGGUACAAAAACAAUUUUAUAAAAUAGGACAUCGAAAAUGAAACUAAUCCCAUUAUUGGUUCGGUGCUAUGUUUUUCGGUUGUACGAAUCAACAAAAAACCACGCACAAACUUAGCUAACUAGAAAAUUGAUAUUUCCCUCUUCGGAAUGAAAUUCAAUAGUAUUAUUACAAUACAUUUUAAUGGUCAUUGCGAGAAAUCGAUUUGAAUUGUCGAAGAUGGUAGGAGUGCCCAGUGAAAAUUUGAUGGUUGCUCUUACCCUCGGGAUUAUAUUAUAUAAAUCUUGUCCCGUGUUCGUUUUUCUCCGUUGAUUAACUACAGACUAUUAUUAUAAUAUUUAUUAUAUUAUUAAUAAACAAUAAUAGACAAAGCGAAUUAGGUAUUCAACUAGCCCACCACCUAGGCUUUUAUAAUUUGUUCCUUUCGGGCUGUUUGGAAUAAAAUAUAGAGUAAAUAGGUAUUCGCUUAUUUUGCCCUUUUUACAUCGCAUAUAUCAAAAUAUGUUCAGUUGUUGUGCGUGCCAUCCGAUUUCAGUGCCAAAAAUAUAUUCUAACAGACUCGGCAUAGCACCUAUACAAGGUGUGGAUUUUGUUAUUAUUAUGUAGGUGUAUCGAAUUUGAAUAGUUUUUAUAGUUUGCGUAUCGUAAUAUUUAUUACAUAGAUAUUUGAUAAUAUUAUCUAUCUUCUUGGUUUUUUUAAAUAUAAAUUUGGUAUUGAGCGUCUGUUUAGUAUGAUGUUAAGUAGAUAUAAUAAUAUAAUAAAUAGAUAGGUACAGAGACGAAUACCAAUAAUUAGAAGUUGUUACUCAGUUCGUUUGAGAAAAAAAAUGUUUUUUUCCUUGGUAGUUCGUACACUCGCUACUUCAAAUUUAAAAAUUUCCCACGGGGGUCGAAAUACAGUAGGACAUUUUCGAAAAACCCUGUUUUAUUCAUUGCGGUGGUAACGCGGGGUAAAUAAAUGAACAAAGGUAUCGAAAAACGUAUAAAUAUGCGCAUGACAAAGUAUCUACCUAAUAGUGGAUCACGUUAUCGUUCGGUAUGCGCAUUUUCUCCAUAGCCAGCAUAUUAUUUUGUCGUAGUUCAGCACUUCUGAUUGGUCAGUGUGUUAAUUGACCGGUAAUAGCGGUAAUUCUAAUGCUGACCAAUAAGAAGCGAAGAUCUAAAUUAUUAAUAAUUGACGAUGAAGUGAAGAAAUAUUUGAUCAAAGUUCGCAUAUUAAAAACACUGUGAUCGUAAUACGUCUAUUUUGUCAUGCGCUUCUAAAUACAUUCUGUUCGGAACAAGAUUAAACAGCUCAGACAUCGAAAACGAGACGCGUUUACGCAUUCCCGCCACUUAACCACCAGCUUUACCGGCUGUGCUCGCUCCCUGUAGGCUGUCAGCGCGGUGGCGACGACCAAUCACAUAACGCGUAGCGUCCACUAAGGAUCCGGAUUCGCUCUGCAGCUCAGUCUGCAUGUCCUAUAGCAAUUCGGUUUUACCCCGAAUAAAGCAUAUAGAUUUCUAUGACCUCCACUUCCACGGUCUGCGGCCCGCAAAUGGCGACCCAUACCUCCCAUAUAACUUUCCUAACCGAUACAUUUUUAUCUAUUUAUUAAUACUUAUAAGUAUAUAAUUUACGCGUAGGAAUAAAUAAGAUAUAUUACAAUCGAGUAGAUGACGAGUUACAUUAAUUAUUAUUAUAACGGUAUAAAUUAAAAAUUAACAAAAUAAUUAUUAUUUUAAAACAAGUAAACUCUCGACAAUCAUACGCGGGGUGUGCAAAACAACAAUCACUAGUGUUACUAUAUAAUAUUAUUACUUCUCGUGUUACGUAAAAUAUAUUCUAAUACAAAUAUAAUAGGUAUGUAAUUAUAA